AUUGAACGCUGGCGGCAGGCCUAACACAUGCAAGUCGAACGAGUGGCGGACGGGUGAGUAAUGUCUGGGAAACUGCCUGAUGGAGGGGGAUAACUACUGGAAACGGUAGCUAAUACCGCAUACCAUCAGAUGUGCCCAGAUGGGAUUAGCUAGUGGGUGGGGUAACGGCUCACCAAGGCGACGAUCCCUAGCUGGUCUGAGAGGAUGACCAAGAACACUGGAACUGAGGGACGGUCCAGAUUCCUACGAGAGGCAGCAGUGGGUAAUAGUGCCAAAUGGGCGCAAGCCUAAUGCACCCAUGCCGAGUGUAUGAAGAAGGCGCUCGGGUUUUAAAAAUCUUUCAGCGGGGAGUCGUUACCCGCAGAAGAAGCACAGGCUAACUCCGUGCCAGCAGCCGCGGUAAUUC
rnacentral:rRNA from 1 species